GCCUACGGGGGGCAGCAGUGGGGAAUUUUGGACAAUGGGGGCAACCCUGAUCCAGCAAUGCCGCGUGAGUGAAGAAGGCCUUCGGGUUGUAAAGCUCUUUUGUCAGGGAAGAAACGGUGCAGGCUAAUAUCCUGUGCUAAUGACGGUACCUGAAGAAUAAGCACCGGCUAACUACGUGCCAGCAGCCGCGGUAAUACGUAGGGUGCAAGCGUUAAUCGGAAUUACUGGGCGUAAAGCGUGCGCAGGCGGUUUUGUAAGACUGUCGUGAAAUCCCCGGGCUCAACCUGGGAAUGGCGAUGGUGACUGCAAGGCUAGAGUUUGGCAGAGGGGGGUAGAAUUCCACGUGUAGCAGUGAAAUGCGUAGAUAUGUGGAGGAACACCGAUGGCGAAGGCAGCCCCCUGGGUCAAAACUGACGCUCAUGCACGAAAGCGUGGGGAGCAAACAGGAUUAGAUACCCCUGUAGUCC
rnacentral:rRNA from 1 species